AUUGAACGCUGGCGGCAUGCCUUACACAUGCAAGUCGAACGGCAGCACGGGUGCUUGCACCUGGUGGCGAGUGGCGAACGGGUGAGUAAUACAUCGGAACGUACCUUAUCGUGGGGGAUAACGCAGCGAAAGUUGCGCUAAUACCGCAUACGCCCUGAGGGGGAAAGCGGGGGACCGUAAGGCCUCGCGCGAUUAGAGCGGCCGAUGUCUGAUUAGCUUGUUGGUGAGGUAAAAGCUCACCAAGGCGAUGAUCAGUAGCUGGUCUGAGAGGACGAGCAGCCACACGGGGACUGAGACACGGCCCAGACUCCUACGGGAGGCAGCAGUGGGGAAUUUUGGACAAUGGGGGCAACCCUGAUCCAGCAAUGCCGCGUGAGUGAAGAAGGCCUUCGGGUUGUAAAGCUCUUUUGUCAGGGAAGAAACAGCAGCUCUAACACAGUCUGCGAAUGACGGUACCUGAAGAAUAAGCACCGGCUAACUACGUGCCAGCCGCCGCCGUAA
rnacentral:rRNA from 1 species